GUACUUUUUGUGUUGUGUGCAAGUGUUUUUUACAAUAAGUUUUGUUGUGUUUGGGUUUGUGUUUUCUUUGUUUUGUAGUGCUUAUUGUGAAAGUUUAAGUAGGUUCAUGUCUGCAGGCCAGGCAGGUCAUUAAACUUAACAAAAAAUAAGUAAGUUUGGAUGGGGGAAUGAAAAUCUCCACGUAUAUAUUCUUAUAAGCUGUAAUGCUCACCACAAAGAUCUGCGAGUGAAGCCUGUGAGACGAACACACUAACUCUGGACACUCUGUCAGGCUACAUUUUACGUUUUUGGGAGUGAGCAGGUGUUACUGUUCCCCGGGUUGGUUUUGAAGUCCUGGCUCUCAAGUAAUUUUUCUGCUUCUCAAAAGUACUGGAAUUACAAAGAUCACCAUCAAAAGCUACAAACUGGAAACAGUAGAGGAAGAUACUAGCCCCGUGUUUCUGAUUCAGUAUCACUGAAAUACUUUGGAACCAUAUAAAGGGCAAAGUACAUUCCACAUGUUGAAGGACAGUGCCUGGCCCUGUGGGGUGUCAUCCCCAUGCUGUAGGCAUAGUGGCAACCCAGGGGUUCAUCUCAACUCCCAUCAGAGUUCAAACAUUGAAUUAGUUGUGCAAUGGAAGGAGUAUUACCAGGACCCAGAUGCAGCCCAAGGAAAAAAGAAAACAAAAGGAGACACACACACCUGUUUCAUGCUCUGAGCAGAACUGCAUUGCGUACAAUGAAUCACCUACACUCACAGGAACCCUACAGUCACCAAGCACUCAUAUCUGACAAAUCAGCAUUUAUCUUUUUACCUUCCUGGCAUCUGGCCCAUCCAGUCCUCACUCCUCCAACCCCCUCUUCUGCACUAGGCUCAGGUUAUAAGCUCCAGAUCCAGACAAAAGUGACUGCAUCUUGUAAAGGACCCCAGCGCCCCUUGGGCUUUGCCUGA
rnacentral:lncRNA from 1 species